GUGCCAGGGCUCUUCUGCCCUCAAGGAGCUGAAAUCAAACAUCCCAUGAGGAAAAGGUCAAUCAUAAUGUAAAAGCUAAAGAACAGCACAGGAGACGUCCCAAGGCAGCCAGGAUCCUGUUCCACGAAUUGGCUCACGUGAUAGUGAAGGCUGAGAAGUUCCAAGAUCUGCCAUCAGCAGAUUGGAGACCCGGGAGAGCCGAUGGUGUGGGUCUGAUCUGAAAACUGCAGUCUCAACAUCCAAGAGCAAAAAGGGGAAAUCUGGACCCGGACGGACGUGCACAGCAGGAAGGCGAUGUGAAGAGAGGAGAAAGCCACGAGAAGAAGGCAGAGAUUGGGGUGAUGGGCUCACAAGCCAAGGAACUCCAGAAGCUGGAGAGAGGUCUGGAACACAUUCCUGCCUAGAAUCUUCAGAGGCUGUUUGGCCCGGCCAUCAACUUGAUCUCACAGUCUACCCUCCGGAACAGGGAGACAAUCCACGUCUGUUGUGUAAGCCCCCUGGUUGUAGUGAGUUAGUAAAUAGCUGAGCCCACAUUCAAGCUGAA